CACAUACUGACAGAUAUACAUAUAGACACAAAGACACACAGACAAACUUAAUGACAAACAUUCAGAUACACAGAAUGACACACAUACAGAUAUAAACUGUGACACACAUACAAAUACAUAGGGGCACGCACUGACACACAUGCAAAACCGUUACAUAUACAUACAUACAGAUCCCACAUACACAUACAGACAUUCACACACACAUACAGACGCAUACACACAGAUAAAGACAUUCACACUCUCUCUUAGCUGGGAGGAAGUGAUGGCUUCCUCCCAGUGGGCGCUCUGACGUCAUCACUGGGGUGCUGAGAAAGCCCCAAGUAAUUAAUUGCCAUUGGGUGGCCCCAAGAGCAUGGGCCAUCUGAUAAACCCCUUCCAUGCGGCCCCAGUGGUUGUUUCUGCAUGGCCGGGCUGCAGCACAAUGCUGGCGGGCACCCCAGUCGCACUGGUCAGCAGGGCAGACGGGCCCAUUGGAGUGACCGGCCCAGUCGCACCUGCGACCCCUUGCAACUGCAGUAGUUCCGCCACCAUUUGCAGUCUCACUGCUCAAUUCUCUGCCAUUUAGGAGUUAAAUCACUUUGUUUAUGCA